ensembl:lncRNA
UCUGGAUAGAGGUUGCAGUUCUCUUGGGCUGUUGCUGGUCAUCAGAAAGGGCUCAUCUCCAGACUGAGAUCCCAAGUGGAGCAUUAUCAUAACUUGAAUCGCUGUUUCCCGGAGGCUGCACGUCUCGCACACUGUCCUGCUGUGGCUGGGAAUGCAUGAGGCUUGCGUCACCAUUGAGAGCAUGUGGUUAUAUAAGUGGUAUCCUAAGGAGAGGCAACAACACGUCCCUCUCGGAGAUGUCUGAAAACCUGGCUGUGACCUAGAAAAGAUGCAGAGGAGGAGUUGUUUACGGUGCGUCUUCGUUGAAUUAGAAUUAUGAAUACUGGUGAAUUUGUACAAGAGAACAAAGAUCACAGGAAUACAGCAAAGGCCUUGUGUAUCCUCUGGCCAGCAGCAGCUGGGACUAACAAUUCUCUAGAAAACAAGCAAAAAAAAUAUUCCAGCUUUUGAGUCAAAGCAAGACUUCAUGUCUGUGAGCUCUAACAAAAUCAAUAGAACAAGAGCUUUGACAGAGAAGUCAAUAUAAGUUAUAAGGCGUUCAGAGUAAAAUAUCGCAGCAGAUGAAAGUGGUUUGAGGAAGAGAGGGGAAAAAUGCAUGCACAACUUAUCAAAUCCUUCUACUGAAUUUGGGUCCUUCUCUAAGUUAUGAAAUGGGGAAAAAGCGUGGGCUGUUCUUGUACGUCUGAGUUGAGAUUUCAGUUUGGACUUUCAUUGUCUCAGGCUCAAUUUCAGAGAAAGAAAUUACUAUAUAGCUAAGGAAACAUGGAUGCAUCAAACUUUUAAUAACUAUGUACUGAUGUGGUGCAGCACAGAGGCUUUGUAAUUGGGAACUUACAUUGUAUUGUGGGUGGUGGUAUUAAGAAUCUCUCGUCACAAUGCUGAUGUUGCUACCUUGGUGAGCCAGGAAGGCAUACAUCAUUCCGUGCUGGCUAAGGUUUUUCCUUCCCUGUAUGUUUUCAAUUAGAACUGAACCCUGAGGGGGAAAAAAGAAUCAGGUUUAUCUGAACAAGGAGACUGUUACCCACUUUUAUCUAUGUAAAGGAAAAUUUUAAGUUACUUUAGAAGCACUCCCAGUUUCUUCAGCUGCCUUAUCCUCUUUCUGACUGGGGGCAUCACUUGCUCCCUAUGGUCUUUCUCAGCAAAACUCUAGUCACUGAUUCAGUCACCCUUGCCUUUAAUAACAAUAAUGGGUUAUUUUGCUUGCAAGCAAUCCUAAGGUAGUAAUUGAUAGAAUCUUGUCCCUUAAUCCAUCUUGCAUGUCUGUGACUCCAUCUCUGCAGCUCACUCCACCAUUUACCUUUUCCAGGUCUCAAAGGCAUCUUUCUAGUGCCCACUACUAAUCUGAUAGGAGGCCUAUGAAAAAAAGACAACUAUUCAAAACUUCUUUUUCAGCUAAAGCUUUCUACAGGUUUAGCUACAGCUGAGCAUCAUAUUGGUCACACCAGUCCUAGUUAGAUAAAUGCUAGAGCUCCAGUGCAUAUUGUUUUGAGGCAUAAAACAUGGAUCUUUUAACACAAAGCAAGCAAACAUCUUUCUUGCUUU